AUUGAACGCUGGCGGCAGGCCUAACACAUGCAAGUCGAGCGCGCGCCGGACGGGUGAGUAAUGUAUGUGGGCUGCCCGUUAGAGGGGGAGAACUACUGGGAACGGUAGCUAAUACCGCGUACUAUCUGAUUGCCCAUAUGUGAUUAGCUAGUGGGUGGGGUAAUGGCGCACCUAGGCGACGCUCCCUAGCUGGUCUGAGAGGAGGAUCAGCCACACGGGAACUGAGACACGGCCCAGACUCCUACGGAGGCAGCAGUGGGGAAUAUUGCACAAUGGGCGCAAGCCUGAUGCAGCCAUGCCGCGUGUAGGAAGAAGGCCCGCGGGUUGUAAAGUACUUUCAGUCGGGAGGCGUUACCGACAGAAGAAGCACCGGCUAACUCCGUGCCAGCAGCCGCGGUAAUAC
rnacentral:rRNA from 1 species